rnacentral:rRNA from 1 species
UACGGAGGGGGCUAGCGUUGUUCGGAAUUACUGGGCGUAAAGAGUGCGUAGGCGGUCCUGUAAGUUUGGUGUGAAAUCCCCGGGCUCAACCUGGGAACUGCGUUUGUGACUGCAAGACUCGAGUGCGGCAGAGGGGGGUGGGAAUUCCACGUGUAGCAGUGAAAUGCGUAGAGAUGUGGAGGAACACCGAUGGCGAAGGCAGCCCCCUGGGUCGACACUGACGCUCAUGCACGAAAGCGUGGGGAGCAAACAGG